AACUUUUCCACUUUGUGUUGAUCAAUGUUUAUAAGUAAAUAAAAACCUAGAUUAAAUCUGUUUGUCAUAUAAAGCGAUCAUGUCUCUUCAGAAUGAUUCGAACUGUGCAAUUUAUAUGGAUUACUUUUACAGCGUCUUCAACUUUGCAAAGUCCCUUGAAGUCUUAAUUAAUGUAUGGAUGUUUUUCCGUUAUUUAAAAUAUCAAAUUGUGUGGUAUUAAGUUUAUUAGGUUUCAAUGUAUAGAUGUCACUGUUUAUAUUUAUAUUACAAUAUAAUAAGGUUUCUGUUUUACAAAUUUCUUUCUUUUAAAUUAUUUAUUUUUCUUUUAUUAUGAUAUCAAGACAGCUGUACCAGUUUGUUUUGUUUUUUUUAAUAUUUUUUUUCUUGUUAUUCCCACCUAAAAAUAUCAGAGUUUUAUUAAAAAAAUUAAUAACAUGUUUAGUCGUGUCAUUGUAUGUAUGAAUUUAAUGUUUAUUGUAUUAGCACUACAAACAAACAAACAAACAAAAAAGGACCUCAAGUCAUUGUCCAUAAAAUGGUUUAGAAAAGUGAAGCUCUGAGAAAAGCUUUUGCAGGUGCCACAUAGUAAUGAUAUAAUUUAAUACACCUGCAACCGGAUUUGUGAAGACGCACAGGUCUAAAGGUGAACCUCUGGAUCGCUUUAUUAAUUUAAAGUGCCAUAAAAUGCUUUAUGGGAUGUAAAAAGGAUGUAAAAGAGUUUCUCUUCUGUGCCGGAGAGAGAUUCGAGCACCAGCACGGAGUUCCUGAUUGUUAUUGCAUAUGCCUGCAAGCAUGUGCGUGGGUGUGUGGGUAAUCCCAACUCCCUCUCUCUGUGUUGUCCCAACACAUUGGAAUCAUGCCAUAGCAGCAUGCUGCUUUUUGUCUAGUUUCAGUAAGGGAACUCUCUUGAGUGGGCAGAUCCCUGGCAUAAAAAGAGGCCAGGACUACAGGGAGAUGCUCAUUCAGCACCUUGCUCACUCAUUCAUUCAGCAUGGCAACAGCUCCCUUCAUCUGUGAUGUGGAAACCUCUGAGGAAUCUCUGAGGGCUGCUGUGAGCAGCCACCAGGUCAGGCAUCGGGUCUGCUCCUACACUCUCCUCCAGGUCCUUGUAGGUGUACUGACGGUCUUUGUGCUGGCACUGACUGGAAGUCUCAUCUGGAUGAAGGAGACUUCGGAUUGCCCAGGGAAGCUUUGGACUGUCAAUUUCACAGGAACAAAUGCAACCUUCACUUCACCUAGAACUCAGAAAUAUGUGAUCUUUGGCAGUGUCUUCACAACAGGAGUUGUCAGUAACUGCACAAAUGUAUUCAGGCUGCAAUCCCAUGGAAAAGAAAUCCUAAAAAGUGGAGUCGCUGAGAUAUUUAGUAGAGAUGAUGUAGAGCUUCGGAAAGAAGCAACACUAAGUGUAAUGCUUAAUUGUAAAGUGUUUAUUGAUGAGGACAAGUCCAAACUCUUCAUUUAUCAACAUAACUCAUGCUAG
ensembl:lncRNA